rnacentral:rRNA from 1 species
AUUGAACGCUGGCGGCAGGCCUAACACAUGCAAGUCGAACGAGGGGCGGGCGGGUGAGUUGUCUCGGGGAAAGUGCCUGAUGGAGGGGGAUAACUACUGAAAACGAGAGCUAAUCCCGCAUACCAUCGGAUGUCCCCAGAUGGGAUGAGCGAGUAGGUGGGGUAAAGGCUCACCUAGGCGACGAUCCCUAGCGGGUCUGAGAGGAUGACCAGCCACACUGGAACUGAGACACGGUCCAGACUCCUACGGGAGGCAGCAGUGGGGAAUAUUGCACAAUGGGCGCAAGCCUGAUGCAGCCAUGCCGCGUGUGUGAAGAAGGCCUUCGGGUUGUAAAGUACUUUCAGCGGGGAGGCGUUACCCGCAGAAGAAGCACCGGCUAACUCCGUGCCAGCAGCCGCGGUAAUUC